AAACGAUCACUAGCUUGCUAGGAGGCGUCGAGCGGCGGACGGGUGAGUAAUGCAUAGGAAUCUGCCCGGUAGUGGGGGAUAACUUGAGGAAACUCAAGCUAAUACCGCAUACGCCCCAGGGGGGAAAGCAGGGGAUCUUCGGACCUUGCGCUAUCGGAUGAGCCUAUGUCGGAUUAGCUAGUUGGUGAGGUAAUGGCUCACCAAGGCCGCGAUCCGUAGCUGGUCUGAGAGGAUGAUCAGCCACAUCGGGACUGAGACACGGCCCGAACUCCUAC
rnacentral:rRNA from 1 species